rnacentral:rRNA from 1 species
AUACAGAGGGUGCGAGCGUUAAUCGGAAUUACUGGGCGUAAAGCGCGCGUAGGCGGCUUAUUAAGUCAGAUGUGAAAUCCCCGGGCUCAACCUGGGAACUGCAUCUGAUACUGGUAAGCUAGAGUUUUGGAGAGGGAAGUAGAAUUUCAGGUGUAGCGGUGAAAUGCAUAGAGAUCUGAAGGAAUACCAGUGGCGAAGGCGACUUCCUGGCCAAAAACUGACGCUGAGGUGCGAAAGCGUGGGGAGCGAACAGGAUUAGAAACCCUAGUAGUCC